rnacentral:rRNA from 1 species
AUGGCUCAGAUUGAACGCUGGCGGCAGGCCUAAUACAUGCAAGUCGAACGGUAACAUAGGAAAAGCUUGCUUUUCCUGAUGACGAGUGGCGGACGGGUGAGUAAAGUUUGGGAAGCUACCUGAUAGAGGGGGACAACAGUUGGAAACGACUGCU